rnacentral:rRNA from 1 species
GAUGAACGCUGGCUACAGGCUUAACACAUGCAAGUCGAGGGGAAACGACGGGGAAGCUUGCUUCCCCGGGCGUCGACCGGCGCACGGGUGAGUAACGCGUAUCCAACCUGCCUCUGACUGAGGGAUAACCCGUCGAAAGUCGGCCUAAUACCUCAUGGCAUCGUCUGCGGGCAUCCAACGACGAUUAAAGAUUUCAUCGGUCAGAGAUGGGGAUGCGUCUGAUUAGCUUGUGGGCGGGGUAACGGCCCACCAAGGCGACGAUCAGGAGGGGUUCGGAGGGGAAGGUCCCCCACAUUGGAGCUGAGACCCGGUCCAAAACCCUACGGGAGGGAGCAGUGAGGAAUAUUGGUCAAUGGGCGAGAGCCUGAACCAGCCAAGUAGCGUGCAGGAUGACGGCCCUAUGGGUUGUAAACUGCUUUUAUGCGGGGAUAAAGUGAGGGACGUGUCCUUCAUUGAAGGUACCGAAUGAAUAAGGACCGGCUAAUUCCGUG